rnacentral:SRP_RNA from 1 species
GCCGGGUGUGGUGGUGGGCGCCUGUAGUCCCAGCUACUUGGAGGCUGAGGCACGAGAAUCGCUUCAACCCAGGAAGUGGAGGUUGCAGUGAGCCGAGACUGUGCCACUGCCCUCCAGCCUGGGUGACAGAGUGAGACCCUGUCUCCA